rnacentral:rRNA from 1 species
GAUUGAACGCUGGCGGUAUGCUUAACACAUGCAAGUCGAACGGAAACGAUACUAGCUUGCUAGUAGGCGUCGAGUGGCGGACGGGUGAGUAACGCGUAGGAAUCUACCUGAUAGUGGGGGAUAGCCCGAAGAAAUUCGGAUUAAUACCGCAUAAUCUAUUCGUAGUAAAGUGGGGGACUUUCGAGCCUCACGCUAUCAGAUGAGCCUGCGUAAGAUUAGCUAGUUGGUAGGGUAAAAGCCUACCAAGGCGACGAUCUUUAGCUGGUCUGAGAGGAUGAUCAGCCACAUCGGGACUGAGACACGGCCCGAACUCCUACGGGAGGCAGCAGUGGGGAAUAUUGGACAAUGGGGGCAACCCUGAUCCAGCAAUACCGCGUGUGUGAAGAAGGCCUGAGGGUUGUAAAGCACUUUCAAUUGUGAAGAAAAGCUAGUGGUUAAUAGCCAUUAGCCUUGACGUUAACUUUAGAAGAAGCACCGGCUAACUCCGUGCCAGCAGCCGCGGUAAUACGGAGGGUGCAAGCGUUAAUCGGAAUUACUGGGCGUAAAGCGUGCGUAGGCGGUUUAUUAAGUCAGAUGUGAAAGCCCCCGGGCUUAACCUGGGAACUGCAUUUGAAACUGGUCAACUAGAGUAUGGUAGAGGAAAGUGGAAUUUCUGGUGUAGCGGUGAAAUGCGUAGAUAUCAGAAGGAACAUCAAUGGCGAAGGCAACUUUCUGGACCAAUACUGACGCUGAGGUACGAAAGCGUGGGUAGCAAACAGGAUUAGAUACCCUGGUAGUCCACACCGUAAACGAUGAUAACUAGCCGUUGGGGGGAUUUACCCCUUAGUGGCGAAGCUAACGCGUUAAGUUAUCCGCCUGGGGAGUACGGCCGCAAGGUUAAAACUCAAAGGAAUUGACGGGGACCCGCACAAGCGGUGGAGCAUGUGGUUUAAUUCGAUGCAACGCGAAGAACCUUACCUGGUCUUGACAUCCUGAGAACUUUCUAGAAAUAGAUUGGUGCCUUCGGGAACUCAGUGACAGGUGCUGCAUGGCUGUCGUCAGCUCGUGUCGUGAGAUGUUGGGUUAAGUCCCGUAACGAGCGCAACCCCUAUCCUUAUUUGCCAGCACAUCAUGGUGGGAACUAUAAGGAGACUGCCGGUGAUAAACCGGAGGAAGGCGGGGACGACGUCAAGUCAUCAUGGCCCUUACGACCAGGGCUACACACGUGCUACAAUGGGAAGGACAAAGAGCCGCGAAGCCGCGAGGUGUAGCUAAUCUCAGAAACCUUUUCGUAGUCCGGAUUGGAGUCUGCAACUCGACUCCAUGAAGUCGGAAUCGCUAGUAAUCGUAGAUCAGAAUGCUACGGUGAAUACGUUCCCGGGUCUUGUAC